ACGGAAGGCGGCAGUGGGGAAUAUUGUACAAUGGGGGAAACCCUGAUGCGGCAACGCCGCGUGAGUGAUGAAGUAUUUCGGUAUGUAAAGCUCUAUCAGCAGGGAAGAUAAUGACGGUACCUGACUAAGAAGCUCCGGCUAAAUACGUGCCAGCAGCCGCGGUAAUACGUAUGGAGCAAGCGUUAUCCGGAUUUACUGGGUGUAAAGGGUGCGUAGGCGGUAUGGCAAGUCAGAUGUGAAAGACCGGGGCUCAACUCCGGGACUGCAUUCGAAACUGCCAGACUGGAGUACAGGAGAGGCAGGCGGAAUUCCUAGUGUAGCGGUGAAAUGCGUAGAUAUUAGGAGGAACACCAGUGGCGAAGGCGGCCUGCUGGACUGUUACUGACGCUGAGGCACGAAAGCGUGGGGAGCAAACAGGAUUAGAUACCCUGGUA
rnacentral:rRNA from 1 species